rnacentral:rRNA from 1 species
GAUGAACGCUGGCGGCGUGCCUAAUACAUGCAAGUCGAGCGAACAGACGAGGAGCUUGUUCCUCUGACGUUAGCGGCGGACGGGCGAGUAACAAGUGCAUAACCUACCUAUAAGACUGGGAUAACUUCGGGAAACCGGAGCUAAUAACAGAUAAUAUAUUGAACCGCAUGGUUCAAUAGUGAAAGACGGCUUUGCUGUCACUUAUAGAUGGUUUCGCGCCGCAUUAGCUAGUUGGUAAGGUAACGGCAUACCAAGGAAACGAAGCGUAGCCGACCUGAGAGUGUGAUCAGCCACACUGGAACUGAGACACGGUCCAGACUCCUACGGGAGGCAGCAGUAGGGAAUCUUCCACAAUGGGCGAAAGCCUGACGGAGCAACGCCGCGUGGGUGAUGAAGGUCUUCGGGUCGUAAAACUCUUUUAUUAGGGAAGAACAAAUGUAUAAGUAACUAUGCACGUCUUGACGGUACCUAAAGAAAAAGCCACGGCUAACUACGUG